rnacentral:lncRNA from 1 species
UUCAUCAUUCAAAUGUCUUAGCACUUCAUUAACAUGCAAGAGUUCACAUAUUUCAUCCAUUAUUUCAAUCAUUCCAAAUCAAAUAGCACCAUUAUGCACCUAAACACCUAGUGAACAUCUAAAACACUAACCGAUUAUGAAAAGGCACCGAAUCAAGGAAGAAAGUGAGAAGUGAUGUCACACCCCAACCGAUGGCGGAAACAUCGGGAUGAGACGAACAAAUUGCUCAAAACAACAUAACACUAAAUGUGACAAUAUGAAUUAAAUCAUUUUAUUAAAUUCUAAGGGCAAAACAAAGUUUCGAAUAUUCAAACAUAAAUUCAAACAAAUAGUUUAUUGCUAAAAUGGGUAUCUAGUCCAUCCUAACUUGAUUCCUUCAUCAUCUUGACUAUCAACCUGCAACAUGUAUUAAAAUAACAUCAACAAGAAAUGUUGGCGAGUAUACAAGUUUGAUACAUAGCAUAGUAGAAUAAAAUGUUUAAAUACUCAUAUCCCACACGAAUAACAUGAUCCACUUUGCCUUUCCCAAUAGACUAGCGGGAAGUUAACACGUUCAACUUGUUCAAUACGUUCAACUUGUUCAGUACGUUCAAGUUGUUCAAUACGUUCAACUUGUUCAAUACGUUCAACUUGUUCAAUACGUUCAACUUGUUCAAUACGUUCAACUUGUUCAAUACGUUCAACUUGUUCAAUACGUUCAACUUGUUCAAUACGUUCAACUUGCAUAGCAUAUGAGAUUAACAAGCAGCGAAAUGUUUCGUGUUUAAAUGUGGAUAUAGUGUAAAUAUAACAAGUUUCAAGUGUUGUGUAAUUUGAAUAUGGAAUACAUGUUGCACCCAAAGUGUUUAAAACGAAAAUGGGAUCGAGUAUACUCACAUUGAUUGCGUUUCUUGGAAAUGAGAGAGUGAGUUGGAUCCAAGAGAGUUGUGACAAGCGCAAGAGAUUUACCCUAUUUGAUUGGGAAUUCGUUAAUUAAUGUUGGUAAAAUGAUUAAUUUGAUAAUGGGAAUUUAGUGGGAAUUAAUAACAAUGUUUAGAAUAUUAAUUUGUUAAAUAUUAGUAUUUUAAUAUUACUUGUUGUAUUAAUGGUGAUAAUAAUAAGAAUAGUAGUAAUGAUAAUCAUGAUUUAUAAAUUUUAAUAGUAUUAAUACUAAUAAUAAUAGAAACAAAAAGAUAAUAAUAAUUAUAUUAAUAUUAAUAUUAAUAAUCGUAUAAAAUGAUAAUCUUAACAUUAAUAAUUUACGACAUUGGUAAUAAUAAUUAUAGUAAUAACAAUAACAAUAGUAAUAACAAUGGUAAAUAAUAAUAUAACUGAUUUGAAUAAUAUUAACAAUUUGUCUUAUUAAUAUUUGAAAUGAUAAUAUUAAUACUGAAAUAUCCGAAAUAUUAUAUUAGUAAUAUUAAUAAUAAUAUUGAUAAUAAUAAUUAUAAUAAUAAUAAUAAUAAUAAUAAUAAUAAUAAUAAUAUCAAUAACAAUAUCACUCAUUAAAAUUCUGAAAUUUAUAUUUAUAAUAGUAAUAAUGAAAAAAAAUAAUAAACAGUUUAUAUAUAUAAAGAAAUGGCCCCAACAGGGGCGGCCCAAACCGGAAGCCCAAACCCGGGUCUGUGCAUGACUAGCCGGUGCGUACCACCACUGCUAAGACCUGCUUGGUGAUUAACUUAUAAGAUUUAUGUGCUAAACGAGUAGUUCAUCUAAUACAUUAGCCGAACGGGUUGUAUACGGAAAUGUAAACAGAAAGAAAGAAAGCAGAAACGGUACCGAACAGGGGCCCGGAAGUUGUGUCGGAAGUUUACGGCGGCUGACCUGUCUUCUCCGGCGAUGUACUGGUUACGGUUCCGGGCGUUUCCGGUCGUCCUCUCCGGCGACGGAUCGAUUUGUUUUGGAAGUGAUUGA